UACGGAGGAUGCAAGCGUUAUCCGGAUUUAUUGGGUUUAAAGGGUGCGCAGGUUGUUUGAUAAGUCAGUGGUGAAAGUCUGUCGCUUAACGGUAGGAUUGCCAUUGAUACUGUUGGACUUGAAUAUGGAUGAGGUAUGCGGAAUGUGUAGUGUAGCGGUGAAAUGCAUAGAUAUUACACAGAACACCGAUUGCGAAGGCAGCUUACUAAUCCAUCAUUGACGCUGAGGCACGAAAGCGUGGGGAUCAAA
rnacentral:rRNA from 1 species